UAUCAAUAUCUGUAUAACAUAUGUUCUCCAUCACAUGCCUUCUGUGUAAGGGUUAAGGACUCCACAGUCACGUAGAAAGGCUCACUUUUUCAAUAUGGCAUUCUGGCUCACUUACCAGCUUCAAAGGAGGUCAGUUUUCAAGUCAUAAUACAGCAAGAUAAAAUUAUGAAUAUGUAGAUAAAAGCCCAAUUUGAGCCUCAAACUUAAUAAUUUGUGUUCCUCGUAUUUUAUAAUGAGUGGCUGAAAAGCCUAAUGUCUCACACCAGAGAAAAUACUUUCAGUGGCUUUCUAUACCUUUCUACACCUCAAGGUGGUCUUUUCAUCAUCCAUCCCUGAGCUAAGGACCCUCAUAUUAACUGCUGACAGUUCUCUCCCAGAUUGAUGCAGUCAGGGUUGCUCAUCCCAAUUAUGCCCAGUUCAUGUCCUUUCCUCUUGGUCCAUGCACCAAAAAUACCUUUCUCUCAUCUCUCAUCUCUGUAAGUAUCUAUCCCACAUAGAAAUUGAUUAAUAUAUUCUAUAGCAUUAAAAUUAUAAAUUUGAAUUCGCAGCAGCAUUAGUUCUUGCUUUAUUUUUUUUUUUGGGGGGGGGGGAGUGUUUUAUUCUAUUCCAGAAAAUAUUCUUACUUUUUUGGUAUCAAGUGCACACUUCCUGACAGGGAUUGAGGUUCCCAUGGAUACAGAUUUCAGUAUAGUGGCAAGAUGAGUGGGAUGAGAUCUGAGACUUUUCCUGGUGAUAUUUACCAUUCUCCAGUGAAUUCAUUGCAGAAUUGCUAUCCUGUUGCAGGAUCAUCAUAGGUAAUUCUCUAGGUCAGCAAAGUAGACAUCAGAAUAUCAAGCUGAAUGAAAUCUGUACUUUGUUUUGUCAGCCAGUCUUUUGCCAAGACAGCCUGUCUAUUGCAUAUUUAGGAAUCAAAUAGUCAUUUUUCUGUUUGGAUAGUCAGAAAUAUUUGUUUGACUUGAUCAGAAGGUUUAGGGUCACCUAGUUAAAAGAUUAUAACUUGCAUAUAAUUUCAAAAAUUCUUUUUAAGUAAACUAGGAAAAUUUCUGCAAACUGAGAAAUUUAUAUUUCUAUAUCAUUUUCAUUUGUAUAUCACAUAUCAGGAAAUAACACUUAGAUGAAAACUCUAUACCAUUUUUGUCAUAACUCUUUCCAUGUUGUUACGAUAUCUUUAGUAUUAAUAUUUUGCAUGCUACUACCAAAUAAAAAAGCCAGGCUUAAUGACAGAAACAUCUACAUAUAAAGUAAAGUUUUCACUUUGGCCUAUUGGGUCUACUAGGAAAGAAAAUGUGGACUUUAUUAAAACCAGGUAUAUGUAACUACAGAUGUUUUAAUCAAGAUUGUAACACUAUCCUAGAUAUCUACAAGAGAGAAAAGAAGAGGAUUAAAAUUUUAAACAGUUUAUUUGCCAUUUUAAACUAAUUCACAUGAACAAGAAAUUUUUCUUUUAAAUCAAAUAAACAGUAGUUUACGACAGUCAUCAUUUUACAUGUGAGUUUCCCCCCCUACCAGCAUAGGAUCUAUUCCUAAACACUUCAAAAGAAGAAAAUUAAUACCAUUUGAGAGAACCAUUUUGAAAUGGAACCCAGCCUUACCAGGACCCUGUCUAUGGCAAUGGUUGUUUCUAGAGUUGGCAUUUAUGUAGAUCCCAGGAUGAGAUGUUUCAUGGCUGCAGGCUGGCUUGUGGCAUCCAAAAGUCCCCAUUGGUUUUUUGGGAACGAAUCACAAGGACUGCCUUUCAAAAUGAGUUUGACAAGUUGGAGAGAAAAAGCAGUAUAUACAGAGCAGUUCUAAAGGGAUGUAAGGAAGAAAGUGACAGAGGCAGGAGAAUGAGUAAGAAAAGUAGUUGCAGAAGCAGAUAACUUAUAGCCAAAAGGAGGAAAGGUUUUUGGUUCUAUGAAGAUUGGGCAGUCUCCUCCUGAGGAAUAUUUUAAGGAUAGAAAAUGGUACUUGUCUUUGGUGGUUUGGGUAAAGUCAUGUAAGUGGCAGGAGGAUGAACUAUAUAAUUUUGGGGAUGAUUUAGUGAUAUUGUUUGCAAGAUAAGAAAGGGAAAUUCUAGGCUGCUGAUGGGUGAUAUUCUUCCCAAUAUCAGAGCUCCUCAGGAUAAUCACACAUCAAUGAUUUUAAUAAAUAUUUGUUGAGCAACUAUGACCUUCCAGACACUGUUCUAGGUUCUUAGAAUACACCAGGUAACAAAACAAACAGUGGUCUUUACCCCAUGAACCAACUCUGUGUUAAAUACUAUUACCUUGUUUAAUUCUCUUACUAAUCCUAUAGGAUAAACAUUGUUAACUCCAUCUCACAUAUAAGGACACUGAUGUUUAAGCAGGAUAAGAAUCUUGUUUGAAUAUUUAUUUGCUUUAGAAUUUCUUUUGUUGCAAUCUAGAAUCUGAACUUUGGUCAUUAUACCAACCAGACUUCUUGAAAAAAGAGAUUGGGUUUUUUCAGUUUAAAAUGAAAUAAUGAAAUACACAUUUCAAAUGCCGCCUACUUCUUAUGUAAGAGCAAAUAGAUGGAAAGUUUAAAAAAUAUGUUAUCUAUCUGUAACUACAUCAUUUAAAGUAGAUAAAAGGCGGUCACAUAAGUAAUUAGGUGAAUAUUCUCACCUCUAAUAAUCUGAAUUAGAGUAUCAGAAGUAUGAUGAAUGAAUAUUUCAAUUAUAUGUGAUCUGAAAUAGGAUGAAAACCCUUGGCAAAUUACUUUUACUAUGAUAGAGGAGACUUCUAUGCAAAUGCCUGUUUCAAUCCAUCUUCAGCAUUGAUUGUUGAAAAACAUAUGUUGGUACCAUUUCUUUCCUAUUUCAUUGCUAAUGUGUGCUUGUGUGUUUAAAGUUAUGGAUCCAAGGGGAUCAUUGGCCAAGGACUAUUGAAAUAAGAUAGGGGUUCUUUGUAUUCUAAAAUGACCAAACUGUAGCAAAUGUAUGUUUCCUGUUUUAUGGAAGUCAUAAAUGUAUAUUGUGUGUAUGUGCCUGGCCUGCAGGUAAAUGUAGUUCUUUAACUCUAUGUGGUCCUGCUUCCUAUAGCCAACUGAAGGCUUGACUCUUCUUGUCCAUGUUACUAUUGGGACUUAAAUGACUUUCUGAUCUUUCUUAAAGUGGAGCCACAGGUCUUUUUUUCAAACUGAGAAUGUGUUUACUUGGGGUCUUUGCUAUUGGAUACCUGGCUCUCAUGAUGGUUCCUAUACCCAUCUGUAAGAAAAAGAAGCUCUCAGGAAGGAAUUUCUAUUUGAAAAAAAUGCUCAGAUUUCUAACGAUCAUCUCUAACUUUCUCUUCAAUGGAGAACAUUUACAAAAGCCACUCAAAGGGUAGUAGCAGAGCAGUCUCCAUGUUUUCCUUUCACAUGGGAUAUUUUCUACUUCUAAAGUUUUCUUUCCUUUGCAUUUUCAAGAAGAAUGUUUAUGUUUAAUUCUUUUUUUUUUAUCUUGAAGGUUAUGUAGAAUCUCUUGAAACAUUUUGAAGUCCCCUUUCAAAAAUUACAUCAAUAGUUCUAAGACCAUAGGUAACUUUUCUUGCAAUUCAGACAGCCAUGUUUUACACAGUGCCAAACCAACCCUCAGCAGUCCCUUUGGUCAGUUUGUCAUCUUUGUGAAUUAUCUGAAUCUCUCUGUGGUAGUCACCAAGAGUCUAGCUUAGACAGGCAGAUUUUCUUAACCUAGGCUUCUAACAUCAAGUUUGGACUGGGGUGUUUGUUAAUAAAGCAAAGGGAGCAAGUCUGAGAUGUUAGUCCAUGCUCUCUUAAACAGAACUUUCCUUCUUCCUGAGGAUUUAAACAUAAAAUUGAUUUUAAAAAUACUGAUAUAGUGUUCCAUUGCUUGUCAAAUCUUUUGCCAUUAUAACUCUGUGUUUUUCUGUGUUGAUAUUCAUUGUGUCCAUGGGGAUAUAAAUAUGAGAAUUUCAUCAACUGUCUUGCAAGGUUAAGCUGUGCUUCUUACUAGUUUUGAAAUUUUUCCUUGUAUAGUACAAUCCCUCCGAAGAUAAUUACAUUGGACCUAAAUGACAGCAUAAUGGUUUUUCUUCCAUAUCUGUUACUAACAAUUCCCUGAAAACAGAGCUAGACAAAUGCUAUGCCCAAUUUAUUUUUUUAAAGAUUUUAUUUAUUUAUUCAUGAGAGACACAGAGAGAGACAGAGGCAGAGGGAGAAGCAAGCUCCUAAAGGGCAGCCAAAUGUGGGACUCGAUCCCAGGACUGGACCAUGCCCUGAGCCAAAAGCAGAUGCUCAACCACUGAGCCACCCAAUCUAUGGCCAAUUUAAUACCUAACAGUUGAGACUUAAAAUUUUCUUCAGGAAGCUGGUAAUUAAAUAUGAAUUAAAACUUCAUGAAAGACUUCCAGGUGCCCCUGCCUUCAUUUUGAUUAUAUUUUAGUUGGAUGGUGACUUGGGAAAGAAAAAUCUCUUACUUUACCUUAUACUUUCACAAGCAACAGCUUUGACAAUUUAAAUUUGGUGACAUUUCUGAAGGUAGCGUGCACGUUAUAAUUAAAGAUGAAGGGCAGAGUUAGAUGAAGAUAGUCUGGAGUGAAAUAAAAGUAAGCAAUAAUAAUAAUCAUGCUUAUUGUAGCAAUAUCUUGAAAGCUUAAGUUUAGUGGCAUUUGAGAUGUUUCAAACCAUCCAGCUUAUACAUCUUACCCUGCUGUUCAGAAGGCAGUGAGGUUGAGUGAACCACUCACUAUAGUAAUGGCCAAUUUGAAGCAGUAUUAUGGUUUGGAUAUAAAGAAACUUCGGCAAAAGCACUUGUGGAUCUUUCAGAUCCAUAUUUAUCCUUAAAGUCAGUUUCACCAAUCAAUAAAAAUGAAUUAUUUAUCCAAGAAUAGAUAAAGCUCUUUAAUGUCCUCAUGACAUCGACAUAGAAGCCCAAAUACUCCUUGUUUGAGAUUCUGCAUGCUUUUUGUGCUUUACUGAAUCAAUGAAAUUUUUCUUUCAUUUUGCUCUCAAUUGAAUAAUUUCACACACAUAACCUUGGGUUUGUUUUGAAGUUAUGUAGAAUUAUUUGAAAUGGUAUUUUAAUUUCAACUCAUGUCACUGUAUAGUUUAUUAGUAAUUUGCUCAACUGAUAAUUAAGUCAUGUUUGUUAAAGCAAUAAAAAUUCAUUAUGCAUUUGGCAU
rnacentral:lncRNA from 1 species